GGGGAGAGAGAGGGAGAGAGAGAGAGAGAAACAAAAAAAGAGAGACGGGGAGGGAGGGGCAUGAAUACAGGCAAGCAGGGACCAGCGCAGAUGUGCGUCUACUCAGGUUAUUUAUCCCAUCCUCACAGGCAUGCUGGCUUUAGGAGGGGAAGCUCUGGACCUGGUGCCUAGAAGUGCCUCCUAUCCCUGGGUCUGGUCCCCCCAGGCCAGCAAGCAUUGUUUUUAGGCUGGUUAGCUCACAUUGAGAUGAGGGAGGGUGUCUGGCACCUGCUGGGGGUCUCCGAGCUAGACACAUCUACUGAGCUUGCCCUCAAAGGCCCACUUGGUGCUGACAAGCCAUCUGGGUCUCAGCUGACCAGGAUGACCUAAUGUUCCACUGGGUCUGCUUCUCUGCCAUCUUUCCAGGGAUGGCCCUCAGCUGACCCUGGCUUCUGGGCCCCCAGACCCAGGCACCUUGAGGAAGAAUAGCAAACAAGCCGGAUUUCAGGAGGCACAGGGCCAGUGUAUGACCUUGUAGUGUUUGCUUUUUUAAACUUAAAAAUAUACAAUUUUAAUUUUCAUCAUGAAGACAAUUGUGUUCUUGGAACUUCCAGGCAGCCCCUGUCUUGGCCAGUUCCUCAAUUAGGUGCCUCUCAAGAGGGAAAAAGCCAAAAUACAAUUACUUGAGGAACAAUGGGCUGGGGCUAUAUUUAACACGGGGCCAGCCUGGGGGACCACAUGCUCACCUCCUCCCUGGCUCCUCUCCCUCCUGUCUUAGCCUUCACCUUCCUGUCCCUCUGUCUGGGUUCCCUGGUCUCCCAGCUGCCCCACCUCACUGUCUCCAGCUGUCUGCACCCUGAAGCUGUUACUGAUGGACAAUCAGACAAGCCUCUCCCAGGACGGCUGCAAACUCCUUCCUCCCCAGAUCCGCUGAGCAGCCUCGCGCCUCUGAGACCCUGAGACCUGGAGCUUUCAGCCUGACGUCUGGCACAGCCUCAGACGCAGUGAUCAUGGAGCAUUCUCUGGGAAGAUGGGCCUCAAUUUUGUCCUGCCCUAGCCUGGAAAACACAGAGAACUCUGAAGAUAGCCUAGCCUGAGUUCACCAGAGCCAUGGGGAGGAGCCAGCCCAGGUGAGUGCCAUUUCUGCUUCUGGAAGGGGCCUCAGCUCACCCUGCUCUCACUCUGGAGUCCUGGGAGGCCACGGCCACAGCCAGCAGGCAUCCAUCUUAUCUGGGAAGGGGUAGCUCAAUGGGGUCAACAGAUAAUCUCUCAGAACAGGACUCUGCCAAAGCCUCUAAAAAAAGCUGCUGGGGGGUUGAAUAUGGAGUUUUCUGUACCCACCUGGACCCCACCUGAGCGUCCUCACCUGAGAAUCCAGGCUUCAUUCUCAUUCAUGGGGCUGAUCUGCCUGAAAUGUCGUCAUAUUAGUCAGGGCUUUCCGGAGACACAGAGC
rnacentral:lncRNA from 10 species